AUUGAACGCUGGCGGAAUGCUUUACACAUGCAAGUCGAACGGCAGCACGGACUUCGGCCUGGUGGCGAGUGGCGAACGGGUGAGUAAUGUAUCGGAACGUGCCCAGUCGUGGGGGAUAACGUAGUGAAAAUUACGCUAAUACCGCAUACGAUCUAUGGAUGAAAGCGGGGGAUCGCAAGACCUCGCGCGAUUGGAGCGGCCGAUAUCAGAUUAGGUAGUUGGUGGGGUAAAGGCCCACCAAGCCAACGAUCUGUAGCUGGUCUGAGAGGACGACCAGCCACAAUGGAACUGAGACACGGUCCAGACUCCUACGGGAGGCAGCAGUGGGGAAUUUUGGACAAUGGGCGAAAGCCUGAUCCAGCCAUUCCGCGUGCAGGAUGAAGGCCCUCGGGUUGUAAACUGCUUUUGUACAGAACGAAAAGGUUUCUACUAAUACUAGGAGCUCAUGACGGUACUGUAAGAAUAAGCACCGGCUAACUACGUGCCAGCAGCCGCAGUAA
rnacentral:rRNA from 1 species